rnacentral:rRNA from 1 species
CCUACGGGAGGCAGCAGUAGGGAAUAUUGCUCAAUGGGGGAAACCCUGAAGCAGCAACGCCGCGUGGAGGAUGAAGGUUUUCGGAUUGUAAACUCCUUUUGUUAGAGAAGAUAAUGACGGUAUCUAACGAAUAAGCACCGGCUAACUCCGUGCCAGCAGCCGCGGUAAUACGGCGGGUGCAAGCGUUACUCGGAAUCACUGGGCGUAAAGGGCGCGUAGGCGGGAUAGCAAGUCAGAUGUGAAAUCCUAUGGCUUAACCAUAGAACUGCAUUUGAAACUGGUAUUCUAGAGUAUGGGAGAGGUAGGUGGAAUUCUUGGUGUAGGGGUAAAAUCCGUAGAGAUAAAGAGGAAUACUCAUUGCGAAGGCGACCUGCUAGAACAUAACUGACGCUGAUGUGCGAAAGCGUGGGGAGCAAACAGGAUUAGAUACCCUUGUAGUC